UGGCGGACGGGUGAGUAACGCGUGGGUAACCUGCCUCAUACAGGGGAUAACAGUUAGAAAUGACUGCUAAUACCGCAUAAGACCACAGCACCGCAUGGUGUAGGGGUAAAACUCCGGUGGUAUGAGAUGGACCCGCGUCUGAUUAGGUAGUUGGUGGGGUAACGGCCUACCAAGCCGACGAUCAGUAGCCGACCUGAGAGGGUGACCGGCCACAUUGGGACUGAGACACGGCCCAA
rnacentral:rRNA from 1 species